rnacentral:rRNA from 1 species
AUUGAACGCUGGCGGCAGGCCUAACACAUGCAAGUCGAACGGCAGCGGGGGGUAGCUUGCUACCCCGCCGGCGAGUGGCGGACGGGUGAGUAAUGCCUGGGGAGCUGCCCAAUCGAGGGGGAUACCAGUUGGAAACGACUGCUAAUACCGCAUACGCCCUGAGGGGGAAAGGUGGGGAUCUUCGGACCUACCGCGAUUGGAUGCACCCAGGUGGGAUUAGCUAGUUGGUGAGGUAACGGCUCACCAAGGCGACGAUCUCUAGCUGGUCUGAGAGGAUGACCAGCCACACUGGAACUGAGACACGGUCCAGACUCCUACGGGAGGCAGCAGUGGGGAAUAUUGCACAAUGGGGGAAACCCUGAUGCAGCCAUGCCGCGUGUGUGAAGAAGGCCUUCGGGUUGUAAAGCACUUUCAGCGAGGAGGAAAGGAGGAUAGCUAAUACCUAUUCUCUGUGACGUUACUCGCAGAAGAAGCACCGGCUAACUCCGUG